UACGUAGGUGGCAAGCGUUGUCCGGAUUUACUGGGCGUAAAGAGCGCGCAGGCGGUCGUUCAAGUCGCGUGUGAAAGCCCCCGGCUCAACUGGGGAGGGUCACGCGAUACUGAUCGACUCGAAGGCAGGAGAGGGAAGUGGAAUUCCCGGUGUAGUGGUGAAAUGCGUAGAUAAUCGGGAGGAACACCCGUAGCGAAGGCGGUUCUCUGGGCCAAUACUGACGCUGAGGGA
rnacentral:rRNA from 1 species